rnacentral:tRNA from 1 species
GCCCGGAUGGCGGAACUGGCAGACGCAGGGGGCUUAAACCCCCCGGAAGGCAACUUCUUGUGGGUUCAAUUCCCACUCCGGGCAC